rnacentral:lncRNA from 10 species
CAGUGAGUCACAUUCCCCUGAGUAUAUAACCUGGGGCCAGCUGCUUCUCACGGUUCCUCAGCCUUAGUGCAAGUGGGCAGCACAGUCAAGACUCCAUUUGCCCUGGGCAGCUUUCCUGAGCCCUAGGGGACUCGCUCACAGAAUCUUAGGAUUUUGGUUGUUCCUUGCCAACUGUCUCAGAUCAUGAGAUGAAGAAGGACAUAUGAAUAACACAACUCCUAAUAGGUGUUUGGAGCUGAGGUGAAAAGAGCCGCCAUGACAUUAGACUGGAAAAAGUAGAACCAAGUCCAACACAAGUAAACUAUGGCUUCUGUAUACGGAAGUGUUAUGCCCAGUUUCAGGUCUAUUUGAAGACAUCUUCUACGCCAAGAAGAAAAGAGCUACUUUACAUCUCAACAGUGACGAAAGGAGUUGCAUACGAAUAUACGAACUGUUUCUGGCACCCAACAUAGGACAGCUGAGACACUGCAGUCACACAUGUACCUGCAGAUGAGGUCUUGGGACAACAGACAAAAAGCUGGGAACGAGGUGAGAAGAUGUUUACAAAUACUAGAGAAGCCACCAGUUCCCAGCUGAAGUUGCAUUGCCUGGAGGACCUGAGAUGAGGAGAAAAAUGACUGAGCAAGGUGGAGCAAAGGAGAAGAAAGACAUUUGAAUGUACUGGAUUAAUAUAUUUGGCUUUAUAUUAUACAGAGUUAUAUAGAAUCAUGAAAUGUUUUAUGUCCUAUGUUUUGGAUUGAGAUAUACCUCACAUAAUGACUGGUAAAUCAAUGAUAGUGCUUCAUCAAAUUUCCCCUGUGCAAACAGGAGCGAAGAGAAGCUAUAGUGAGCUCCAAAAAGAAUGCUCCAAGGAAGAUAUCCAGGGACUUAUUAUACUUCACUUUAGAGCUGUGAUAGCAGCUUGCCUGAAUUGAGAUAUUUACCUUUUCAAUUCAGUCCUGGUGGCAUAGCAAUGUUUGCUGCUCCAUAUUCUGGAAAUAAUGUUGAUUGGGCUAAUGUGUAAUAUUUGCUAUGGCAACUUCGGCCAUCUCCUUGCUAUAUGUAUACAUGGAUUAUUUGGGACUAAACACACAAACCCGGUGAGGCAUUUUUAAAGGCUAAAUUAAAUUUAACUUGUUUUUAAAACAAAAGGUGACAUAAUUGUUAACCAGUUACUAUCAAAUUUUCUUUUUGUUUUCCCCACGCAUUUUUCUUUGAGGAUGAAGUUGUAGGGAGUGGUCCUGGUUUAAAUUUGGGUCCUUUAGCCUCCAGUCUAUCUUGCUAAAAAACUCAUUCCAGCAGGCUUCUUCACAUUCCCAUUGUCUCACAUCUAGAACUAGACAUUGCUUAGACGUAAACAUGCAAGUAUAGUCAUGCAUUGCUUAACAACAGGGAUAUGUUCCUAGAAGUGAAUCGUUAGGUGAUUUUGUCAUUAUGAAAAUAUCGUAGAGUGUCUCUAUACAAGGCUAUAUCAUAUACUCUACUACGCAUCUAGGUUGUAUGGUAUAGCCUCCUGUUUCUAGGCCACAAACAUGUACUGCAUAUUAUUGUACUGAAUACUGCAGGUAAUUGUAACACAAUGGUAAGUAUUGAUGUAGCUAAACAUAUCUAAACAUAGAAAAAAUAGUAAAAAUAUAAUAUAAAAUAUGGUAUGCCUGUAUAAGGCACUUAUCACGAAUGAAGUUUGCAGGAAUGGAAAUUGCUCUGGGUGAGUCAGUGAGUCCCAAGUGAAUGUGGAGGCCUGGGAUAUUACGGUACACUACUGAUGACUUUAUAAACACUGUACACUUA